GAUGAACGCUAGCUACAGGCUUAACACAUGCAAGUCGCGGGGCAGCAUGUAUCUGGCUUGCCAGAUACGAUGGCGACCGGCGCACGGGUGAGUAACGCGUAUCCAACCUGCCCAUAACCACGGCACAGCCCGUCGAAAGGCGGAUUAAUGCCGUAUGAGGUUCCAGAGUAGCAUUAUUAUGGAACGAAAGGAUUGGCGGUUAUGGAUGGGGAUGCGUCCGAUUAGCUGGUUGGCGGGGUAACGGCCCACCAAGGCGACGAUCGGUAGGGGUUCUGAGAGGAAGGUCCCCCACACUGGAACUGAGACACGGUCCAGACUCCUACGGGAGGCAGCAGUGAGGAAUAUUGGUCAAUGGGCGAAGCCUGAACCAGCCAAGUAGCGUGCAGGACGACGGCCCUAUGGGUUGUAAACUGCUUUUUCGCGGGGAUAAAGAGGGGGAUGCGUCCCCGUUGCAGGUACCGCGUGAAUAAGGACCGGCUAAUUCCGUG
rnacentral:rRNA from 1 species